AGUGAAUAGAUACCCAGGUAGUCCACGCCCUAAACGAUGAAUGCUAGUCGUCGGGGUACUCGUUACUUCGGUGAUGCACUUAAACAGAUUAAGCAUUCCGCCUGGGGAGUACGGUCGCAAGAUUAAAACUCAAAGGAAUAGACGGGGACCCGCACAAGUGGUGGAGCAUGUGGUUUAAUUCGAAGAUACACGAAGAACCUUACCUGGCCUUGACAUGGUAGGAACCCUUAAGAGAUUAGGGGGUGCUAGCUUGCUAGAACCUACACACAAGUGCUGCACGGCUGUCGUCAGCUCGUGUCGUGAGAUGUUGGGUUAAGUCCCGCAACGAGCGCAACCCUCGUCGUUAGUUGCUAACAGUUCGGCUGAGCACUCUAACGAGACUGCCUUCGCAAGGAGGAGAAGGUGAGGACGACGUCAAGUCAUCAUGGCCCUUACGGCCAGGGCUACACACGUGCUACAAUGGGGCGUAC
rnacentral:rRNA from 1 species